rnacentral:misc_RNA from 1 species
AACUGAUACUACCUGCGGGAACCUGCGGAAGGAUCAUUAGUGAACGCCCUCACGGGCUUAUAACUAUUCCAAACCUCUGUGAACCGUGCCCUUCGGGGCUAUUUUACAAACAUGGUGUAGUGAACGUCAUAUAUCAUAACAAAACAAAACUUUUAACAAUGGAUCUCU